rnacentral:tRNA from 2 species
GGGCUCGUAGCUUAGAUUGGCUGGAGCACCCGGCUGAUAACCGGGAGGUCGAGGGUUCAAAUCCCUCCGAGCCCA